UACGGGGGGGGUAAGCGUUGUUCGGAAUUAUUGGGCGUAAAGGGAGCGUAGGCGGUUCGAUAAGUCACUUGUGAAAUCUCUGGGCUCAACUCAGAGUCUGCAAGCGAAACUGUCGGGCUUGAGUAUGGGAGAGGUGAGUGGAAUUCCUGGUGUAGCGGUGAAAUGCGUAGAUAUCAGGAGGAACACCUGUGGCGAAAGCGGCUCACUGGACCAUUACUGACGCUGAUGCUCGAAAGCUAGGGGAGCAAACAGG
rnacentral:rRNA from 1 species